rnacentral:rRNA from 1 species
AUUGAACGCUGGCGGCAGGCCUAACACAUGCAAGUCGAGCGGAUGAAGGGAGCUUGCUCCUGGAUUCAGCGGCGGACGGGUGAGUAAUGCCUAGGAAUCUGCCUGGUAGUGGGGGAUAACGUCCGGAAACGGGCGCUAAUACCGCAUAUGUCCUGAGGGAGAAAGUGGGGGAUCUUCGGACCUCACGCUAUCAGAUGAGCCUAGGUCGGAUUAGCUAGUUGGUGGGGUAAAGGCCUACCAAGGCGACGAUCCGUAACUGGUCUGAGAGGAUGAUCAGUCACACUGGAACUGAGACGCGGUCCAGACUCCUACGGGAGGCAGCAGUGGGGAAUAUUGGACAAUGGGCGAAAGCCUGAUCCAGCCAUGCCGCGUGUGUGAAGAAGGUCUUCGGAUUGUAAAGCACUUUAAGUUGGGAGGAAGGGCAGUAAGUUAAUACCUUGCUGUUUUGACGUUACCAACAGAAUAAGCACCGGCUAACUUCGUG